rnacentral:rRNA from 1 species
GGCAGCACGGGAGCUUGCUCCUGGUGGCGAGUGGCGAACGGGUGAGUAAUGCGUCGGAACGUACCGAGUAAUGGGGGAUAACGCAGCGAAAGUUGUGCUAAUACCGCAUACGCCCUGAGGGGGAAAGUGGGGGAUCGCAAGACCUCACGUUAUUCGAGCGGCCGACGUCUGAUUAGCUAGUUGGUGAGGUAAUGGCUCACCAAGGCGACGAUCAGUAGCGGGUCUGAGAGGAUGAUCCGCCACACUGGGACUGAGACACGGCCCAGACUCCUACGGGAGGCAGCAGUGGGGAAUUUUGGACAAUGGGGGCAACCCUGAUCCAGCCAUUCCGCGUGAGUGAAGGAGGCCUUCGGGUUGUAAAGCUCUUUCAGCUGGAACGAAACGGUACGCACUAAUAUUGUGUGCUAAUGACGGUACCGGCAGAAGAAGCACCGGCUAACUACGUGCCAGCAGCCGCGGUAAUACGUAGGGUGCGAGCGUUAAUCGGAAUUACUGGGCGUAAAGCGUGCGCAGGCGGAUUGUUAAGCAAGACGUGAAAUCCCCGGGCUUAACCUGGGAAUGGCGUUUUGAACUGGCAGUCUAGAGUGUGUCAGAGGGGGGUGGAAUUCCACGUGUAGCAGUGAAAUGCGUAGAGAUGUGGAGGAACACCGAUGGCGAAUGCAGCCCCCUGGGAUAACACUGACGCUCAUGUACGAAAGCGUGGGUAGCAAACAGGAUUAGAUACCCUGGUGGUCCACGCCCUAAACGAUGUCAACUGGUUGUUGGGGGAGUGAAAUCCCUUAGUAACGAAGCUAACGCGUGAAGUUGACCGCCUGGGGAGUACGGUCGCAAGAUUAAAACUCAAAUGAAUUGACGGGG